rnacentral:rRNA from 1 species
AUUGAACGCUGGCGGCAGGCCUAACACAUGCAAGUCGAGCGAGCGGCGGGCGGGUGAGUACUGGAUGGGGACUGCCCGAUAGAGGGGGAUAACUGCUGGAAACGGUGGCUAAUACGGCAUACUGUUGGAUAACCCAUAUGGGAUUAGCUAGUAGGUAAGGUAAUGGCUUACCUAGGCGACGAUCCCUAGCUGUGCUGAGAGGAUGAUCAGCCACACUGGGACUGAGACACGGCCCAGACUCCUACGGAGGCAGCAGUGGGGAAUAUUGCACAAUGGGCGAAAGCCUGAUGCAGCCAUGCCGAGUGUAUGAAGAAGGCCCUAGGGUUGUAAAGUAUUUUCAGUCGGGAGGCGUUACCGACAGAAGAAGCACCGGCUAACUCCGUGCCAGCAGCCGCGGUAAUUC